UCCAUACCCAAAAGCAAGAGGUGUCAGACAAUCAUAUGUUUUUCAGUGUUUAUGUGCAAGUAGUGCAACUUCAGAACACAGUGCAGUGCAGAACUGUGCAGUGCAGUUGGAAUGCUUGAAGGUAAAAGGUUACAGAUAAAAAAUGGAUGCAUAGAAAAUGUAGUGCAAUUUCUUAUAUGUCAUACUGCUGGUCCUGGUGCAGGCCUGGUCUGUCUCUCUCUCUUCUCUGCAGGGUGUGACAGGCAGGGCGUCAGUUCUUUCUCGCUACCAGCCUGGUACUUGACCAAAUUGUCUUUUGACCCGUAAGCUUUCCAAACCAGAUCUUAUUUCUGUCUUUUCAAUUUUUCCUCCAAGGAACCCCCCCAAGCAAACCGAACCUCCAAGCCUGGACCUUCAUCGACUUUCGGAUUCCUCAAACCACCUGUCAGUCACAGCCCUUCUCCAGGAGUUGCCUGCCUGUCCACCCUACAAUGCACCAGUAUCAGAAAAGAGAGAAUUGCAGUACGCACCAGGACCCAGGACACCACCCUUCCAAAGCCCAAGACAACCUCAAACCCUGUGAGUGCUGCAAUCUCCACCUUUUCUCAUUUCAUUGACCAACGAUUCACCUCUGCCCUUAUCCUUCCCAGCAGAACCCAGGACUAUCCAGCCCUGCAUCAUUACAGAGUCCUCCUCAAUAAACCUUUUUUCAUAACCUUACAAACUGUCUCCGUGGUUGCCCCGAUUCAGGGUCGUUCUUUUUACAUUAUGACAGAAAGAACUGACCAACAAGACUCUGGGGCGCAACUACGGAGCGUGGUCUCUCAUCAAGGGCUUUUGUUAGGGCAACACGAGACCCUUUUACAAUCUAUGAGCCAACAACAGACGCAACUUAUGCAGGCUAUGAAUGUUCUGACUCAUGGGUUUCAGGACCUGAAAGCCCAAAUAGACACAAUGCAGCCUACCUCCAGUCCUCCGCCUGUAGUCCAGUCUCCCCCUGAUCCUGUUGGUGCCGCACAGCCGCCGGUUCCCGUUGUCAGUGCCUCCGGUCCCACUCCUGAACCAUUCUCGGAACCCACUCAACACCAGCAGAACGUCCGUCAGGUCCUGCAACGACUCCUCGAGAACCGUCUAUUCAUCAAGGCUGAGAAGUGUGAAUUCCACCGCAGAUCCAUCAGCUUUCUCGGUUACAUCUUUGAGGGUGGACAGGUGAAGACCGACUCAGCUAAGAUCAAAGAAGUGGAGGACUGGCUUCCUAGGGUUUGUGAACUUCUACCGUGUGUUUAUUAAGAACUUCAGUAUUAUUGCUUCACCCCUCUCAGCCCUCACCUCCACAAAGCAAGCCUUUACCUGGACACCUGCUGCUGUUUAUGCCUUCCAACUCCUCAAGGAGAGGUUCACUCAGGCUCCUAUCCUUACCUAUCCAGACCCUACAGCCCAGUUCACUCUGGAGGUUGACGCCUCGGAUUCCAGAGCUGGGGCUAUUCUGUGACAAAUGUCCUCCUCAGAUGGGAAGCUUCACCCUUGUGCCUUCUUUUCUAGGCGUUUUUCUCCGGCUGAGAGAAACUAUGAUGUGGGACACCGUGAACUUCUUGCCAUCAAGCUGGCUCUGGAGGAGUGGCGUCACUGGCUGGAGGGCAUGGAAUUACCUAUCAUCAACUGGACUGACCAUAAGAAUCUUUCAUACAUCCAGUCUGCUAAACGACUCAACUCCCGCCAGAGCCGCUGGGCAUUAUUCAUCUUUAUUAUAACAAUAACAAAUACUACGUUUUUAUAAAAAAAAUGUUCAAUACUAUUAUUAAAUAGGUAUCUAUAAAACAAUAAUGGAUACAUAGAAAAUGGAGGUAGUGCAAAUUAAAUAAACAAUAAAAGAUACAAAUAAAAAAUGGAGGUAGUGCAAAUUAUAAAUGUAGUAAACAAUAACAGAUACAAAUAAAAAUGGUAGUGCAAUUUCUUAUAUAAUAAUAAUAAUAAUAAUGAAUAUACAUUUCUUAAAAUGUAUAAAUAAAAGUAUCUAUACAAUAUAUAAAAAAUACAAUAAUAUAAUGUGACGGAGGAGCCGUCACGAGCCGAGACGUAGUUAUAAGUCCGCGUCAGCAUGCGAGCACGCCUGCACACACAUAUACACAGGCACAUACGCCAUCUCUAACUUACCUUUUGUUGCAGCUAAACUAAUGUGGUUCAUCGUGGGUGCACACGCGGUGUUCCUGCUUCAGUUAGCAUUCAUUCUAACCUUUUAUUUUCAGUUUCAAACAUUUUCCCGGUUCUGUUUUCAAGCAGGCUUAUUGCUGGACUGUGGUGUGCUGGGAGAGAGUCACAUGAUGACGUGAUGUCAACAGAAGUACUGAGUGUUUUGUUAAAUUGAGUACUGUAUUUUUCAUUGUAAGUUUAUUUUUUUUACUCAUUAUUAUUUUGUAUACUUUAAUUUAUUUGAGUUAAAAGUAAUUGCUUAGUUGUUCUGUUUUUUUUUUUGGUUUUUUUUUGUUUGCUUGUUUGGACUUCCUGUGGGCGGAGCCUGUGGCUUUAAAAGCAGGGCUCUGCUCCACAUGGAGGCAGUCUGUGGUUAGACUCCAGAGAAGUCACACUGAGGGUGAAUGACUGUAACAUGGAAGGUACUGUUUUUUUGUUUAUUUUUCAACCUGCCUGGAUGUCCAUGUAUAUAUUCUGCACCUGCCAUCUUUGGCUCACCUGAAAGAAAAACUGAAUAAAUUCCACUAAAGUGA